rnacentral:rRNA from 1 species
AACAAACGCUGGCGGCGUGCCUAAUACAUGCAAGCCGAACGGGGAAAGCUUUCGGGUGAGUACUAGUGGCGCACGGGUGAGUAACGCGUGGAUAAUCUGCCUUAGAGUGGGGGAUAACUAGUCGAAAGAUUAGCUAAUACCGCAUAAGACCACAAGAACUGCGGUUCAAGGGGUCAAAGGUUUUUCGCUCUAAGAUGAGUCCGCGUAAGAUUAGCUAGUUGGUGAGGUAAUGGCUCACCAAGGCGACGAUCUUUAACUGGUCUGAGAGGAUGAUCAGUCACACUGGAACUGAGACACGGUCCAGACUCCUACGGGAGGCAGCAGUAGGGAAUAUUGCACAAUGGAGGAAACUCUGAUGCAGCGACGCCGCGUGAGUGAUGAAGGACUUCGGGUCGUAAAGCUCUGUCGCAAGGGAAUAACACAAUGAAUGUACCUUGCAAGAAAGGAUCGGCUAACUUCGUGCCAGCCGCCGCGGUAAUAC